rnacentral:rRNA from 1 species
UACGUAGGCAGCAAGCGUUGUUCGGAAUUACUGGGCGUAAAGCGUGCGCAGGCGGUUGGGUAAGUCUGAUGUGAAAGCCCCGGGCUCAACCUGGGAAUGGCAUUGGAAACUGGUCAGCUGGAGUGUGGCAGAGGGGGGUGGAAUUCCGCGUGUAGCAGUGAAAUGCGUAGAGAUGCGGAGGAACACCGAUGGCGAAGGCAGCCCCCUGGGCCAACACUGACGCUCAGGCACGAAAGCGUGGGGAGCAAACAGG